AGAGUUUGAUCCUGGCUCAGAACGAACGCUGGCGGCGUGGAUAAGACAUGCAAGUCGAGCGCUAAUUUAAGGGUAGCAAUAUUCUUAAGUUGGAGCGGCGCAAGGGUGCGUAACACGUGGGUAAUUUGCCGUGAAGUUGGGGAUAACUUGCUGAAAGGCGAGCUAAUACCGAAUGUGACGUUUAGAAGGCAUCUUCUGAACUUCAAAGUUGGGGACCGUAAGGCCUGACGCUUCACGAUAAGCCCGCGGCCUAUCAGCUAGUUGGUGAGGUAACGGCUCACCAAGGCUAAGACGGGUAGCUGGUCUGAGAGGACGACCAGCCACACUGGAACUGAGACACGGUCCAGACUCCUACGGGAGGCAGC
rnacentral:rRNA from 1 species